AUUGAACGCUGGCGGCAGGCCUAACACAUGCAAGUCGAGCGAGUGGCGGACGGGUGAGUAAUGUAUGGGGAUCUGCCUGCUAGAGGGGGAUAACUACUGGAAACGGUGGCUAAUACCGAAUACGAUCGGAUGAACCCAUAUGGGAUUAGCUAGUAGGUGGGGUAAAGGCUAAACGAGGCGACGAUCCCUAGCUGGUCUUAGAGGAUGAACAGCCACACUGGGACUGAGACAAGGCCCAGACUCCUACGGGAGGAAGCAGUGGGGAAUAUUGCACAAUGGGCGCAAGCCGGAUGCAGCCAUGCCGCGUGUAUGAAGAAGGCCUUAGGGUGGUAAAGUACUUUCAGCGGGGAGGCGUUACCCGCAGAAGAAGCACCGGCUAACUCCGUGCCAGCAGCCGCGGUAAUAC
rnacentral:rRNA from 1 species